CUCCAAUUAUGCAGCUUCUUGUCUCUCAGACACUAACCAAAAGCUGUUUCCUUUAGUUCUGCGCUGAAUAACAUAAGAAACGUUUCAUGGGUUGUCCUCCUUUGACAUAUAGCUAAAGGGAAACUGUAGUUGUUCAGUAAUUUUUCUACAUUGUGAAAGCAGACGGGUGAGUCCGGGGCAUUUUUCUUUUGAUGUAGUCUGAUAAGACUCUGCUCACAGAGCAAACCUUUAAACACAAAAUUAUUCUGUGAACACAUCAGAUUUUUGAACCAAACAUUUCUAUUUUUAUUUUGCAUUUAGAAUGCAGGCGAUACAACAAUGGAUCAAAGAAUCGAAGGGAAAGGUCCCGGAUAAUCUUGUGUCUAAUGUGGCUUGUAGCGUCUGCCUUCUGGGCUUGGAGAAGAUUCUGGAGAUGGAGUUUAUCUGUCCCUGCGAUCCUGCAACGAAAGCUUGAUCAUUGCUAUGGCUAUUAUCUCGGCCGUAGGAGUGAUCGUCAUAGGAUUCCUAUGCAAAGGCUUCACCGACUCCUGCAGAGGAGCAGAACAAGCAGCAGCAGCAGGAGGAGAAGGAGGAGCAGUAGGAGGAGGAGCAGAACAAGCAGCAGCAGGAGGAGGAGGAGCAGCAGGAGGAGGAGCAGCAGGAGGAGCUGCAGCAGGAGGAGCAGCAGCAGGAGGAACAGCAGCAGGAGGAGCAGCAGCUGGAGGAGCAGCCGCAGGAGGAGCAGCUGCAGGAGCAGCCGCAGGAGGAGGAGCAGCAGAAGCAUUAGGAGAAACAGGAGGAGGAGCAUCAGAAGCAUUAGGAGAAACAGGAGGAGGAGCAUCAGAAGCAUUAGGAGAAACAGGAGGAGGAGCAUCAGAAGCAUUAGGAGAAACAGGAGGAGGAGCAUCAGAAGCAUUAGGAGAAACAGGAGGAGGAGCAUCAGAAGCAUUAGGAGAAACAGGAGGAGGAGCAUCAGAAGCAUUAGGAGAAACAGGAGGAGGAGCAUCAGAAGCAUUAGGAGAAACAGGAGGAGGAGCAUCAGAAGCAUUAGGAGAAACAGGAGGAGGAGCAUCAGAAGCAUUAGGAGAAACAGGAGGAGGAGCAUCAGAAGCAUUAGGAGAAACAGGAGGAGGAGCAUCAGAAGCAUUAGGAGAAACAGGAGGAGGAGCAUCAGAAGCAUUAGGAGAAACAGGAGGAGGAGCAUCAGAAGCAUUAGGAGAAACAGGAGGAGGAGCAUCAGAAGCAUUAGGAGAAACAGGAGGAGGAGCAUCAGAAGCAUUAGGAGAAACAGGAUGGCCUAGGAAAAGUGGGUUAACUGCCUGGUUCAGGGGCAGAACGACAGGUCUUUACCUUGUCAGCUCGGGGAUUUGAUCUUGCAACCUUUCAGUUACUAGUUAACACUCUAACCACUAGGCUACCUGCCACCCCCCACUCUAACCACUAGGAUACCUGCUGUUGAAGAAGCAGUUGAGAUGGUACCCACUCUAACCAAUAGUCUACCUGCCACCCCUCCACUGUAACCACUAGGCUACCUGCCACCCCUCCACUCUAACCACUAGGCUACCAGCCACCCCUCCACUCUAACCACUAGGCUACCUGCCGCCCCUCUAACCACUAGUCUACCUGCCGCCCCUCCACUCUAACCACUAGUCUACCUGCCGCCCCUCCACUCUAACCACUAGGCUACCUGCCAACCCUCCACUCUAACCACUAGGCUACCUGCCGCCCCUCCACUCUAACCUCUAGGCUACCUGCCGCCCCUCCACUCUAACCACUAGGCUACCUGCCGCCCCUCCACUCUAACCACUAGUCUACCUGCCGCCCCUCCACUCUAACCACUAGGCUACCUGCCAACCCUCCACUCUAACCACUAGUCUACCUGCCGCCCCUCCACUCUAACCACUAGGCUACCUGCCAACCCUCCACUCUAACCACUAGGCUACCUGCCGCCCCUCCACUCUAACCUCUAGGCUACCUGCCGCCCCUCCACUCUAACCACUAGGCUACCUGCCGCCCCUCCACUCUAACCACUAGGCUACCUGCCACCCCUCCACUCUAACCACUAGGCUACCUGCCGCCCCUCCACUCUAACCACUAGGCUACCUGCCGUUGAAGAAGCAGUUGAGAUGGUACCCACUCUAACCACUAGGCUACCUGCCGCCCCUCCACUCUAACCACUAGGCUACCUGCCGCCCCCCACUCUAACCACUAGGCUACCUGCCACCCCUCCACUCUAACCACUAGGCUACCUGCCGCCCCUCCACUCUAACCACUAGGCUACCUGCUGUUGAAGAAGCAGUUGAGACCCAGGCCCAGAAAUUGAGCAAUGGGCAUUAAAUUACUGUAUGAAUAACAUUUGUAAAAAUGGUAUGUUUCUUUUUUUCUUUUCUACACAAUCAAUAAGUAACCAAUUUAAAACUUUGGAUUUAUGAGUGUGGAGAUUAAGGGGCGUUAUCUCACGCAGAUGAAGCCUAGCCCUGGGCUAUAAAGAAAGAUUAAUGGUGAGUCUCCAUUGAAAAUGCUUUUUAGUCCAGGAUUAAGGUUAAUCUGUGUCCACGAAACUGCCCCUAUGGCUGAGUUUACAAAGGAAGACCAACUCUGAUCUUUUGACAAUGCUUUGUCAUAUUUGAUACAGUACAUACAGUAUCUGAUUGUUUUCCCCAAUGUGUAAACAGCAACAAGAAAACCACACUCUGUUGAGUUCUGAUUUGUAAUACAUUUGUAUGUGGUUCCCAAUGAAUUCUGAUCCAUCAUGCAACAGUCUGGACGCUGAUUUCUUCCACAUGACCUGCUGUUACCAAAACAACCACCCCAAAAUGUAAUGGAACAGUGACAGAAAAUGGACUGAAAAAAACCAUCUGAAUUGGGUUCCUACGUCCCUGCCACAUUACAGCCGUCGGUCGUCCUGCAUUAUCAUCAGCCAUCAGCCAUUGAGGAAAGGCUUCCUUUUGCAAUCAAUGAAAGCUACUGACAAGAGUAGUAGCUUAAGCCUCAGCUCUCUGUGACAUUGUAGAGACACAACUUGCCGAUGCCCACGCACACUCAUGAAGAAGGUUCCCUUUCACACACAGACCACAAAGAAUUAACAUUCAGAGGGAAUUGGCAUUGAUUAAAGAAAAGAAGAAAUUAUUGGGAGUGGAAUUUGUAAAACUGAACGAUUAAAGGCUAAGUAUGUUAAAUGUUAAAGGUUGGAAACAGGGGGUAAUAUACAGUGGAAGAUAUUCAAGGGUCAUUAGAGGAAUGGAGUAAAUUGCAGUAAAUUGUUAACAGUUUUAUAAUGUUGUUUAGCUUAGAGGAACAAGACCUUAGGGGCCCAUUGGAGGGUAAUAAUGAAAUGUUAUAAUAUUGUUUGCUUUAAGGUACGAUGCGUAUAGACUAUAUUUGUUAAGCUUAGAGGAACCUUAGACCUUGGGGUCCAUAUGAGGUUGAUAAUGAAAUUGUAAUGAGGAAAUGUUUAUGUUGGUGGAUGUUUAAGAUGUAAAUGGGGGGUAAUACGCUUGGUUGGAGUAAGAUUCGAAUUGAGUGGAGUAAGGGAAAGUUGAUGAUUAAAAAUUACUGUUUUAAAAGUUAAAGGUAAUUAAGUAUGUUAAGGGAGUUAGUUGGAUUUGGAAAUCCCUAAAUCGGUUAGCCCCAGUGUGUUAGCCCCAGUGUGUUAGCCCCAGUGUGUUAGCCACAGUGUGUUAGCCACAGUGAGUUAGCCCCAGUGUGUUAGCCCCAGUGUGUUAGCCACAGUGUGUUAGCCACAGUGAGUUAGCCACAGUGAGUUAGCCACAGUGUGUUAGCCCCAGUGUGUUAGCCACAGUGUGUUAGCCACAGUGUGUUAGCCACAGUGUGUUAGCCACAGUGUGUUAGCCACAGUGUGUUAGCCCCAGUGUGUUAGCCACAGUGUGUUAGCCACAGUGUGUGUGGGAGACCGGUUAGGUGAGAAAAGGGUGGGAGUUAAGGGGGAUGAAAAAACACCCUUUUGAACGUUGGCCGCAUUAGGUGUUAAACACUGGAUGCAUCAUUGGGGUAGGUGUUAGCCACAGUGAGUUAGCCACAGUGAGUUAGCCACAGUGUGUUAGCCACAGUGUGUUAGCCACAGUGAGUUAGCCACAGUGAGUUAGCCCCAGUGUGUUAGCCCCAGUGUGUUAGCCCCAGUGUGUUAGCCACAGUGUGUUAGCCACAGUGAGUUAGCCACAGUGUGUUAGCCACAGUGUGUUAGUCACAGUGAGUUAGCCACAGUGUGUUAGCCACAGUGUGUUAGCCACAGUGUGUGUGGGAGACCGGUUAGGUGAGAAAAGGGUGGGAGUUAAGGGGGAUGAAAAAACACCCUUUUGAACGUUGGCCGCAUUAGGUGUUAAACACUGGAUGCAUCAUUGGGGUAGGUGUUAGCCACAGUGUGUUAGCCACAGUGAGUUAGCCACAGUGAGUUAGCCACAGUGUGUUAGCCCCAGUGUGUUAGCCACAGUGUGUUAGCCACAGUGUGUUAGCCCCAGUGUGUUAGCCCCAGUGUGUUAGCCACAGUGUGUUAGCCACAGUGUGUUAGCCACAGUGAGUUAGCCACAGUGAGUUAGCCACAGUGUGUUAGCCACAGUGAGUUAGCCACAGUGUGUUAGCCACAGUGAGUUAGCCACAGUGUGUUAGCCACAGUGAGUUAGCCAUCACAGUGAGUUAGCCACAGUGAGUUAGCCACAGUGUGUUAGCCACAGUGAGUUAGCCACAGUGUGUUAGCCACAGUGAGUUAGCCACAGUGUGUUAGCCACAGUGAGUUAGCCACAGUGUGUUAGCCACAGUGAGUUAGCCAUCACAGUGAGUUAGCCACAGUGAGUUAGCCACAGUGUGUUAGCCACAGUGAGUUAGCCACAGUGAGUUAGCCACAGUGAGUUAGCCAUCACAGUGAGUUAGCCAUCACAGUGAGUUAGCCACAGUGUGUUAGCCACAGUGUGUUAGCCACAGUGAGUUAACCACAGUGAGUUAGCCACAGUGUGUUAGCCACAGUGUGUUAGCCACAGUGAGUUAGCCACAGUGUGUUAGCCACAGUGUGUUAGCCCCAGUGUGUUAGCCACAGUGUGUUAGCCACAGUGUGUUAACCACAGUGAGUUAGCCACAGUGUGUUAGCCACAGUGUGUUAGCCACAGUGUGUUAGCCACAGUGAGUUAGCCACAGUGAGUUAGCAGAAAUAAAAAUGGAGGGUAUAAAGGAGGCAUGAUUUUUCACUCUCUUUGAGCUACAACAACCUGUCGACUGCUGGAAGAAGAUUUUUGCUGUAGCUUUUUAGCUUAAUUAAAAUAUAUUUUGAGUUUUAUUACACUCUUAUUUAGAUUUUUAUUAUACUCAUAUUUAGAUUUUCAUUACACUCAGUUAAAGUAACAUUUUAGGAGGAAUCCUUAAGGUUACCUCAUUGAUAGCAGUGUGUUAAAGUAGCUGUUCAAGUAUUCAGAUGCUAUCGAAGGGACUGAUCAUCCUGAAGAGGGAGCCAAAAAAACUGUUUAUAAAGUUGUAGAAGGUAUGAAAUAGUUUUUCUUUUUAAUUAAAUAUUGUGCUUCACCUAAAAUUGUAAUAGUCAAAAGAUAUUGUAUUGGCAUCCCAAUAAGGGUUUAGUUAAGGGCGCUACAGCGGUCUAUCAGUUUAAUUUGCUGUUGAUGUUUGCCUGUCAUUGAUUGGUGAAAUUGAUUGGUGAUUGAUUGAUUGGUGAUUGAUUGAUUGAUUGAUUGAUUGAUUGAUUGAUUGAUUGAUCUGGAUUUUUAUGAAUGUUUCUGGAAUUUUGAAUAAACUUGCUUUGUUGUUCUGAAA